GGAUCAAUUUACUGGUCGUGCUAUCGUACGUACUGGUUUUAUUGAUUCCUACCUUCUGACAAACCAUGAUGUCAUUAAUUUGGUGUCAUGGGGAAUCAGGACUGUUACUUUGAAAAAAUUAGUGUUUAAAGCAGGCUCACGCUUGAAUACAUUAGCAUGGAAUAACGAAAUAGAACGUUUGAUUCUAUUUUGUUGGUUUCUAGGAUCGACGUA
rnacentral:rRNA from 1 species